CUAGAAAAGUCGGUUUGAGGUGAUUUUUAAUGCGUUUUUCUUUCAUAAUCAAUGGUUGAGGAUCGUUUUAGUUAGCGUGUGGUUGAGGAUUUGCUCCGCUAGAGUUGUUCGGAUGAAAUUUCAGCCUUGAGGUAGGUUUGAUUUAUCAUUCUCCUAGACUGGGAUUGGGUAAUUGAUCAUUCUUAUGUCUUAGAUUAUGGGAGGGGAUCGUAGUAUGAUUUUGGAUUGUGAGUUGUAUUGUGUUGCCCGUGUGGAGACUUGAUUAUAUUGUAUUGCCCGUGUGGGGGCUUGUAUGUGUUGUU